CAUCCUUUUCUUGGCAGGGGUCGGGCGUGCAACCCCGAUCCGCAUAAUGUACAGAGGUAGAGGGGAUGGGCUCUGGCCCGCUCGGUGUCCUGUCUUCACUACCAGCAGUCACCAGUCUGCCAGUUCUAUCCUCAAGCGCUGGGACACAG
ensembl:snoRNA